GACGAACGCUGGCGGCGUGCCUAAUACAUGCAAGUCGAGCGAGCGGAACUAACAGAUUUACUUCGGUAAUGACGUUAGGAAAGCGAGCGGCGGAUGGGUGAGUAACACGUGGGGAACCUGCCCCAUAGUCUGGGAUACCACUUGGAAACAGGUGCUAAUACCGGAUAAGAAAGCAGAUCGCAUGAUCAGCUUUUAAAAGGCGGCGUAAGCUGUCGCUAUGGGAUGGCCCCGCGGCGCAUUAGCUAGUUGGUAAGGUAAAGGCUUACCAAGGCGAUGAUGCAUAGCCGAGUUGAGAGACUGAUCGGCCACAUUGGGACUGAGACACGGCCCAAACUCCUACGGGAGGCAGCAGUAGGGAAUCUUCCACAAUGGACGCAAGUCUGAUGGAGCAACGCCGCGUGAGUGAAGAAGGUUUUCGGAUCGUAAAGCUCUGUUGUUGGUGAAGAAGGAUAGAGGUAGUAACUGGCCUUUAUUUGACGGUAAUCAACCAGAAAGUCACGGCUAACUACGUGCCAGCAGCCGCGGUAAUACGUAGGUGGCAAGCGUUGUCCGGAUUUAUUGGGCGUAAAGCGAGCGCAGGCGGAAGAAUAAGUCUGAUGUGAAAGCCCUCGGCUUAACCGAGGAACUGCAUCGGAAACUGUUUUUCUUGAGUGCAGAAGAGGAGAGUAGAACUCCAUGUGUAGCGGUGGAAUGCGUAGAUAUAUGGAAGAACACCAGUGGCGAAGGCGGCUCUCUGGUCUGCAACUGACGCUGAGGCUCGAAAGCAUGGGUAGCGAACAGG
rnacentral:rRNA from 1 species